rnacentral:rRNA from 1 species
UUGGAGGGCAAGUCUGGUGCCAGCAGCCGCGGUAAUUCCAGCUCCAAUAGCGUAUAUUAAAGUUGUUGCAGUUAAAAAGCUCGUAGUUGAAUUUCGGGAUCAGUACGCCGGUCGUGCCUUCGGUAUGCACUGGUGUCACUGGUUUCUCCCUUCUGAAGAACCAUCAUGCCAUUAAGUUGGUGUGGCGGGGAAUCAGGACUGUUACUUUGAAAAAAUUAGAGUGUUUAAAGCAGGCUCGCGCUUGAAUACAUUAGCAUGGAAUAAUGAAAUAGGACGUUUGACCCUAUUUUGUUGGUUUCUAGGAUCGACGUAAUGAUUAAUAGGGAUAGUUGGGGGCAUUAGUAUUCAAUUGUCAGAGGUGAAAUUCUUGGAUUUAUUGAAGACUAACUACUGCGAAAGCAUUUGCCAAGGAUGUUUUCAUUAAUCAAGAACGAAAGUUAGGGGAUCGAAGACGAUCAGAUACCGUCGUAGUCUUAACCAUAAACUAUGCCGACUAGGGAUCGGGUGAUGUUAAUUUUUUAAUGACUCAUUCGGCGCCUUACGGGAAAC